AGUCUUUUAAGGAUAUUACCAUAAGCGUGGUGUUGGGUGUUCAUGCUCCAUGCAUGACAUGUGCUUUCUUUGAACCUUGUUAUGACAUCGAUACAUUGCCCAUCUGACG
rnacentral:snoRNA from 1 species